UGUUCCUUUUUAUUUUUUUUUAUAAUUAUCUGGUUUCUGUUGAACAAUUAAAUUGGGUUUUAACUGCUGUACUCUCUUUUCAUUAAAUUUCUUGGUGUUUGAUAUUAAAUUCUUAGGUGGCCUUCGUGUUGGGUUUUUAACUUUACUAAUCUGGGGUUUUUUGCCAUAGAAGCUGUAGGCGUUUCUUCCCUCAGUUGUAUUCUACAUUGCACUCCAAUUUAUUUAUUUUAUAUCUUAAAUUAAAAAUUAAAUAAAAUUGUUAAUUAUUAUAUUUAAUACAGUGUUAGUACCCUAAAUAGUAUGUUAACUAAUCCCAAGCAAUGAAGUAAAGACCAUUAUUAGCAAAAAAACAGUGACUGGAAAAGGCUUUUUCUUCCCUGCAAUUUUUGUAAUAAUGUUUACUGCCAUUUUUUUAUUUUCUUUUUAAAUUUUCCAGCCAUUAAUAAUUUCUCUCUAAUUUACAGCUCCACCUCUCCCCACCAUAAUUUAAUUAAUUAAGCUUUAAAUAAAAACCAUCCUUUUUCUCCCUUUAUAUAUUUUGCUCUUUCUUCUUCAAAUUCCAAUCCACUCAUCCAAGCCUUCUCCAUCUCUCUUGAAGAACAAAGUGUUCAAGGUUCCUUCAAAGGUUAAGUUAAUUUAUAUUAAAGAUCAUGAGUGGAAGAAGAAAUGGUCCCAAGCUUGAGUUGAAGUUGAACCUAUCACCACCAAGGCGUAAUCCAAGAAUGGAACCAUCACCAAGCGGGUCGGCUACUGUGUCGCCGACAUCCCCGCCGAGCUCGUGCGUGUCAUCGGAGAUGAAUCAUGACGUUGAGAUGAUGAUGAUGAGCAGCCCAGAAACAACAACAACAGCAACAUCAAUGGUUCUGGUCGGAUGUCCAAGGUGUUUGAUGUACGUGAUGCUUUCAGAAGAUGAACCUAAAUGUCCCAAAUGCAAGAGCACUGUUUUGCUUGAUUUUCUUCAUGAUACUGCUACUACCACCAAGGCAAGGAAGAGCUAAAACCAUAUAAUUAGCAUAUAAAUCUAAUCAUAAAUUUAAUGUUGGCUAUUAGAGUAUAAUUAGGACUUCACCCUUAAUAAUUUUUUUGUCUUUUAAUCUUACCCUUUGUUAUCCUCGGAUUGUGCUAUUUGCUCUCCAAUUUUUUUUCAUUUUCAAGUGAUGAGAAAGUUGGAGGACAAAUAGCACUGAUAUAAUAUUUUCUUUUAGUUUUUAAUUUAAUCACAGAAGAAAGAAAUAUGGGCUUUUAUGGUAGUGAGUAUCCCAUGUUUUCUCUAGUUUCUAGAUAAUUUGAUAUAUUGGUAGCACAGGUUUUUUAAGUUGACAAAUGAAAUUAAAAAAUUGAUGUCUCCUGGAAUAAGAGUUUUAUCUUUUGCACU